CAGGAUUUAAUUAAAACUCAUUUGGAAUAGUAAUAAGGGAAGAGAGAUAAACCAUUAGUGAGAAGCAAUAAUUGAAUCGAAUUUAUACCAAACUUUGAGCGGAUAACAACAUCAAUACAAAAGUGUCACCGCAAAGCCGAACACCAAAAAAUCGAACAAGAAAAUCCCAAAAACAGGCAAUUGCAUGUAUCUAAGGACUUGAAUGGUGACAAAAAUACCACAGGGACGUGACCAUGAUGGAACCUCGAACAUCCACUUAGAUCACACCUAUCUCUGUAGAAAGAACAUGAAUCCGAACGAGACUUUUCUAUUUUUUUUGCUUUUGGUAUUCAAGGGAAAUUGAAAAAGAAGAAGGAAAAGAAACAGUAUGAACUCUAGGAUUGUCUCAAGUUUUUUGCUCAAAAAUCGUUACCCACGACUAUUCUUCAAGUUUGGAAACACUCGCUAUUCGUAUGUGUGUUUACUAGUUUCAGAUGGACUAUUGUGGCGGGGUUGACGCGCGAUAGGUCCUGAAGAAGAAAAAUAUGGCAGCCGAUGGGGGAUGGUAGUUGCUUAUCAGUGAUGGGGCUAGUUGGUUGACUGGUUAAAGAAAAUGGUGCGGCUGCUGCUAUCCCUUUUUCGGUGAGUUUGGGUGGUGGAAAUGGUGGAGUGAUGGUCGUCUGAGGGUGUCCUUUUUGGGGCGACCAAAGAAGUAGCGGUGAUCCAGUGAGUGUGGGAAAGAUGAGAAGCGAUUCUACGGUUCUUGGUGGAGAUGGGUUGUUGGGCGAUGGAGAUGGGUGGUUGUUGGAAGGGCAGGAGUUACGGCUAAAGUGCUGGUGGUUGGCGGCUGCUCUAGUCUAUUAGGGUUCUGCUAGGUUUUCAUUGUUGUGUAGAUUCCCUUUUUUGAAGAUGAAGGUCCCUUAGGGUUUUUCAAGGUUCAAAAAUUUAAUGGAGUUGUGGGCAUGGGUAUGGUGUUUGGGCCUCAG
rnacentral:lncRNA from 1 species